UACGGAGGGUGCAAGCGUUGUUCGGAAUUAUUGGGCGUAAAGAGCUCGUAGGCGGUCUGUCGCGUCUGCUGUGAAAACUCGGGGCUUAACCCCGGGCCUGCAGUGGGUACGGGCAGACUAGAGUGCGGUAGGGGAGACUGGAAUUCCUGGUGUAGCGGUGAAAUGCGCAGAUAUCAGGAGGAACACCGGUGGCGAAGGCGGGUCUCUGGGCCGUAACUGACGCUGAGGAGCGAAAGCAUGGGUAGCAAACAGG
rnacentral:rRNA from 1 species